rnacentral:rRNA from 1 species
UACGUAGGGUGCAAGCGUUAAUCGGAAUUACUGGGCGUAAAGCGUGCGCAGGCGGUGAUGUAAGACAGGUGUGAAAUCCCCGGGCUUAACCUGGGAACUGCAUUUGUGACUGCAUCGCUGGAGUGCGGCAGAGGGGGAUGGAAUUCCGCGUGUAGCAGUGAAAUGCGUAGAUAUGCGGAGGAACACCGAUGGCGAAGGCAAUCCCCUGGGCCGGCACUGACGCUCAGGCACGAAAGCGUGGGGAGCAAACAGG